AUAAGGGAAAUAAAAGAUAGUUAGAGAAAAUAAGUUUAAAGGUUCUUAGUUUCUGAUAGCAGUUGGACUUUGUUGAGUGUUCCUACUUCUUCAGUUUUGGGUCGGUAUGCCUUGCUUAUUGUUCAAGGUUGUUUUGAUUCGAAGUCUUAGACGCUCCACUAUUACUCUGUUUUAAUUAAGUUUGGAUUUUGACAAUGUAAUGAGUAUUAUGAAUUAUUAUUUUGUUUUAAUUACUGAUGAAGAGUUUUGACUAUCCUUUGAUUUCAUCAGCUUUGAGUAAUAUAAUAUUUCUGAAGAUUAUGAAA